rnacentral:rRNA from 1 species
CGUGAGGAACCUGCCUUGAAGAGGGGGACAACAGUUGGAAACGACUGCUAAUACCGCAUGAAGCAUAGGGGUCGCAUGAUUCUUAUGCCAAAGAUUUAUCGCUUCAAGAUGGCCUCGCGUCUGAUUAGCUGGUUGGCGGGGUAACGGCCCACCAAGGCGAUGAUCAGUAGCCGGUCUGAGAGGAUGAACGGCCACAUUGGGACUGAGACACGGCCCAG